UUAGAAAGGUAACUGAAUGCGUAUCCGGUGUUAAAGUUAGAAGAGUAACUGCUCUCGUAGUCGUUUCCGCUCUUCUCUGUUUUGAAGCAAAGAAGGAAGUGACUUGUUUAGCUGUAAACUCUGCUGUUCUUGUUUACGACUCUACUGCUAUUGAUGAAUCCGCUGGGAUUGUAAUGCUUUCAAAGCUAAGCUAUAAAGGCUAACUCUGAACUAAGUCCCAACAACGGCUAGCGAAUAAACUGUAGGGCUUAAGGCAGCUUAUGAUCCGAGGGUAGGCAACUCAAUAGAAUAGAUCGAUGGGAGGAAACUAAAAAACUAUGCCUCUAGAACCGUUAGGAGAAAUAGACUGAAUGAAUGAAAUCCCGUAUGAGAUUGACCCACUGAACUCACUUUCGUUUUAGGAAAAAGAAAUCAUCAUAGCAAGGGGAGAGCCGCUUGGGAAAGGGAUCGAACGAUUGGUAGUUUGGUAGCCGGGCCACGUAGCGAAGAUAGACCCAUGAGCCCUAAAGAGAGAGUGUAUUUCUUUCGCUCCUCUCCCUUAAGGUCGAGCUAACUCGGUCGAUAACCCCUUUCCUUAUUAGUUGAGACUCUGGCUGAAACGUCUUCCUUAGCCUCUUCUUCGGAAUCUCUGUUUGAAACUCCGAACUUCUUUGUCGCCAGAACCAAAUUCGUAUUCCUUAUUCAUUUUCUUCCCCGGCCGACGGGAUGCUUAUUUAUUCUUAUUCUAGUAGGAAGCCUAUAAUGAGGAGGACGACAGACCCG
rnacentral:misc_RNA from 1 species